CGGUACCUGAAGAAAAAGCAUCGGCUAACUCCGUGCCAGCAGCCGCGGUAAUACGGAGGAUGCAAGCGUUAUCCGGAAUCAUUGGGCGUAAAGGGUCCGCAGGUGGCGAAUAAAGUCUGCUGUUAAAGACCGGGGCUUAACUCCGGAAAGGCAGUGGAAACUGAUUAGCUAGAGUACGGUAGGGGUAGAGGGAAUUCCCAGUGUAGCGGUGAAAUGCGUAGAUAUUGGGAAGAACACCGGUGGCGAAAGCGCUCUACUAGGCCGAAACUGACACUGAGGGACGAAAGCUAGGGUAGCGAAAGGGAUUAGAUACCCCUGUAGUCUUAGCGGUAAACGAUGGAUACUAGGUGUAGCUUGUAUCGACCCGAACUGUGCCGAAGCUAACGCGAUAAGUAUCCCGCCUGGGGAGUACGCACGCAAGUGUGAAACUCAAAGGAAUUGACGGGGGCCCGCACAAGCGGUGGAGUAUGUGGUUUAAUUCGAUGCAACGCGAAGAACCUUACCAGGGCUUGACAUGUCGCGAAUCUAGCGGAAACGUUAGAGUGCCUUAGGGAAUGCGAACACAGGUGGUGCAUGGCUGUCGUCAGCUCGUGUCGUGAGAUGUUGGGUUAAGUCCCGCAACGAGCGCAACCCUCGUCCUUAGUUGCCAAUAUUAAGUUAGGCACUCUAGGGAGACUGCCGGGGACAACUCGGAGGAAGGUGGGGAUGACGUCAAGUCAGCAUGCCCCUUACGUCCUGGGCUACACACGUACUACAAUGGUUGGGACAAAGGGCAGCAAGCUCGCGAGAGUAAGCGAAUCUCAUCAAACCCAGCCACAGUUCAGAUUGCAGGCUGCAACUCGCCUGCAUGAAGUAGGAAUCGCUAGUAAUCGCAGGUCAGCAUACUGCGGUGAAUUCGUUCCCGGACCUUGUACACACCGCCCGUCACACCAUGGAAGCUGGCUACGCCCGAAGUCGUUACCCUAACCCGGUUUUGGGAGGGGGAUGCCGAAGGUAGAGCUAGUGACUGGGGUGAAGUCGUAACAGGGUAGCCGUACCGGAAGGUGUGGCUGGAUCACCUCCUUUACAGGGAGACCUAGUCUAAUUACCAAUAGAUGAAAAAGUUGGUAAUUCGCCAGAAUCCUUAGGUCGUGAAGGGAGCAAGAAAAAACUUUCAAACUGUAAUGGGUGAGGGUCAAUGGGCUAUUAGCUCAGGUGGUUAGAGCGCACCCCUGAUAAGGGUGAGGUCCCUGGUUCAAGUCCAGGAUGGCCCACCUGAAAUACACAGGCAUCCUGCCUGUGCCACAAAAAAAGGAAAAAAUUUUAGCAUUGUCUCUUGUAAGCAAGAGCAAGAGAUAAUGCUGGAAUCUAUUCCAGC
rnacentral:misc_RNA from 1 species